CUUUUAUAAAAAGCAAAGGUUGAAAAAAUAUGAUGUUACAAGCAAUUAAUGACUGUAUUGUGAACUAUGUCACUAAAGCACAGCACAGUAAGACGUUUAUUAAGGUAUAGGGUCAAAGGCUAGUUUGUAGCCCGUGUGAAUGUGUUUAUUGCAUUAAUGGCCUUGUUUGAGCAGUCAUAGCCAACUAUACCCUUUAGUCAUAGCGAUAAG